CAAGCGUUAAUCGGAAUUACUGGGCGUAAAGCGUGCGCAGGCGGUUCGGAAAGAAAGAUGUGAAAUCCCAGAGCUUAACUUUGGAACUGCAUUUUUAACUUACCGAGCUAGAGUGUGUCAGAGGGAGGUGGAAUUCCGGCGUGUAGCAGUGAAAUGCGUAGAUAUGCGGAGGAACACCGAUGGCGAAGGCAGCCUCCCUGGGAUAACACUGACGCUCAUGCACGAAAGCGUGGGGAGCAAACAGGAUUAGAUACCCCUGGUAG
rnacentral:rRNA from 1 species